rnacentral:rRNA from 1 species
GACGGGACCCGCACAAGCGGUGGAGCAUGUGGUUUAAUUCGACGAUACGCGAAGAACCUUACCUGGCCUUGACAUACUAAAAAGCUUUAAGAGAUUAGAGUGUGCUAGCUUGCUAGAAUUUAGAUACAGGUGCUGCACGGCUGUCGUCAGCUCGUGUCGUGAGAUGUUGGGUUAAGUCCCGCAACGAGCGCAACCCUCGUGUUUAGUUGCUAACAGUUCGGCUGAGAACUCUAAACAGACUGCCUACGCAAGUAGGAGGAAGGUGAGGACGACGUCAAGUCAUCAUGGCCCUUACGGCCAGGGCUACACACGUGCUACAAUGGGGUAUACAAAGAGCAGCGAUACGGUGACGUGGAGCAAAUCUAGAAAAUGCCUCUCAGUUCGGAUUGUAGUCUGCAACUCGACUACAUGAAGUUGGAAUCGCUAGUAAUCGUAGAUCAGCAAUGCUACGGUGAAUACGUUCCCGGGUCUU